rnacentral:siRNA from 1 species
GAACUGUAAACGUAUGGUGGU